rnacentral:misc_RNA from 1 species
GAAAGGUUCUGGAGGCCAUCCAUCAUUAAAGCUCAGUUGCUGAUUAUCUCGUCCCGAUGCAUGGUUAAAACCCAUUCUCCCAGCAUAGACAUGAUUUCCACUCCUUUUGGAGAUCUUUGUGUGCAGUCUCUGAAAGAUUGUGGACUUGUAGAAUCUUGCUGUGUUGUAAUGUAGAACAUGGAAUGGAUCCUUGGACCGAGGAACACAAAUCGUACCAAUAUGAUUAGCCCCAAGUGCAGAAGCGAUCACCAUCUUAGAGCAAGAGCUUAAUAACACCACGUCGAAAGAUGAGUACACUGACGAAGCUAACGCAGUCACCUUGGUUGGGUUUCUUGGGUACUGCCGUCAACACAAGGGCUCGCAGGGUCUGAGGUUGUCGGCACCAAGAAGAAGCAAGCGCCGCUGUCGGAGGAGACUCGCCGGCCGUCGCUCGUGUUCUGUGUUGCCGGCGAAGAUGUCUACAACCGGGGGUGGGUUGGCAGCUGCUAGGGAGAGAAGGAAAAGGAGAAGAAGGAAAAAGGAGGAGGAGAAGAUGAUAGUAAAGAAGAGGAGAAGAAGAAGAAAGGAGAAAAGGAAAAGGAGAAGAAGGACAAAGGUGUUGUGAAGGGUAAGGACGAGGAGAGUGAUGAAGUGAAGGAAAACAAAGGGGAGAAGAAGAAGGGCAAGGAUGAAGAAGAUGCUGAAAAAGAAGAAAAAAAAGCAAAGAAAGAAAAGAAGGAUGAGAAGAAAAAGGACAAAGGUGAGAAAGAGAAAGGAGAGAGGAAGAAAAAAGAUAAGAACGAAGUAGAAGAUGAAGAAAAGGAGGAGAAAGAUAAGAAAAAAGACAAGGAUGAAGUAGUUAAUGAAAAAGAAGACAAGAAGGAAAGAA